rnacentral:rRNA from 1 species
UACGGAGGAUGCGAGCGCUAUCCGGAUUUAUUGGGUUUAAAGGGUGCGCAGGCGGCACGGCAAGCCGGCGGUCAAAUCGCGGGGCUCAACCCCGCCCAGCCGUCGGAACUGCCGGGCUAGAGUGGGCGAGAAGUGCGCGGAAUGCGUGGUGUAGCGGUGAAAUGCAUAGAUAUCACGCAGAACUCCGAUUGCGAAGGCAGCGCACCGGCGCCCUACUGACGCUCAGGCACGAAAGCGUGGGUAUCUAACAGG